rnacentral:rRNA from 1 species
CAUGCAAGUCCGACGUGAAAGGGGAGCAAUCCCCCGGUAGGGUGGCAAACGGGUGAGUAAGACAUGGGUGAUCUGCCCUGGAGAUGGGGAUAUCCCUCCGAAAGGGGGGGCAAUACCGAAUAGUAUCCGGUUCCGUGAAGGGGACCGGGGAAAGGGAGGCCUCUGGUACAAGCUUCCGCUCCUGGAUGAGCCCAUGGCCCAUCAGCUAGUUGGUAGGGUAAAGGCCUACCAAGGCGACGACGGGUAGCUGGUCUGAGAGGACAACCAGCCACACUGGCACUGAGACACGGGCCAGACUCCUACGGGAGGCAGCAGUGAGGAAUAUUGCGCAAUGGGGGCAACCCUGACGCAGCAACGCCGCGUGUGGGAAGAAGGCUUUCGGGUUGUAAACCACUUUUGCCCGGGACGAAAAGGGAUGUCAGAACACGGCAUUUCGAUGACGGUACCGGGAGAAUAAGCCACGGCUAACUCUGUGCCAGCAGCC